GACCUGUCUUGUAAAAAGGUU
rnacentral:siRNA from 1 species